AAGAACAAAGGACCGUGAGAUCGGUUUUAAAGCCUGGUGCACAUAUGAUUCAAACUGGUCAGGACGCCCCCGACGGGGGGCCCAUGCGAUGGGACCUAACAAAAGGUCUCACUGGUGAGACUCCAUGCGGGCAAAGAGCGGCUGUGCUCCGCAGAUUGCCCCGGUAGAUAAUGCCCAGUUCAAAUUCGCGGUCCAGACCGGUCAAUGCUUCGUAUAUAAAACCUCUCUUUCACCGAUCGAGUGGUCCAUUUUAUUCAUCCCCUUAUGUGAACCUUUGCACUAGCUGGUACGGGUCUCUGAUCUGGAAAGCUUGUGACUUCUACAUACCCUGUAAACAAGUCUUAGAAUGUCCUUUGGCGUUCGAUCGCAUAAAAUA
rnacentral:misc_RNA from 1 species